rnacentral:rRNA from 1 species
UACGAAGGGGGCUAGCGUUGUUCGGAAUUACUGGGCGUAAAGCGCACGUAGGCGGAUACUUAAGUUAGGGGUGAAAUCCCAGGGCUCAACUCUGGAACUGCCUCUAAUACUGGGUAUCUCGAGUUCGAGAGAGGUGAGUGGAAUUCCGAGUGUAGAGGUGAAAUUCGUAGAUAUUCGGAGGAACACCAGUGGCGAAGGCGGCUCACUGGCUCGAUACUGACGCUGAGGUGCGAAAGCGUGGGGAGCAAACAGG